rnacentral:lncRNA from 1 species
CUCAAAAUAUUUUUGGAUGUUCUAUUGAAAUUUGAUUAAUGAUUUGAAAUUUUGCAGAUGGAAUAGAUCAUUUGCAGUGUAAAGGUAUUGAUAUUUUCCUUCCGUCAAAGACGAUAUCGCCAGAGGUUUUUCUUGAUCUACUCAAAUGUACAUCUGUUUUGUUUUUAAUUUUUUAACAAGAAACUAAAAUAGUACUAUAAGAAAUACACGAUCUAGCUCUCACAAUUAGUUUGAAGGGAUAUUUCAAUUUAUGUUCCCUAUUUUGUCGUUACAAAUAACAAUAAAAUAUACAUCUUUUUUGUGAUAUUGAAGAAAAAUAUAGAUGGUACGAUGCAAAUCGUUAAAAGAUAUAGGAUGAAUGUAAUUGAAAAAGAUACAAAUAUAUGUUAGAUAGGGGCACAAAACACAAAAACGUUUUCCUACUUUUAAGUUAUUGUUGAUCAAUCGGUAUAGUACGAGCUUCAUUAUAUUUGUAGUCGAAUCAUAUUUUCAUGUUUGUCAUGAUUUAAAUACUACAAUCAUUUUUUUAAAAAAUAAAUUGUUCUUUACUUUGUUGAGCCCUCUAUGUAUUCUUUUUUUAUUUGUUUUAUGGAAACUACUGAUACAGAUACAAAGUCUCCUGCCAAAAAUAACUAUUAAGAUGGAAAGAGAGCACUAGAGUUAUUAGAUAUACAUGCAUGACAAACCUUAGAAUCGAACCUCUAUUGUAUCCGUUUAUUCAUAUCAUCUACUUUCGUCUCACAAUCUAAAUCAUAUAUCACCCUUUCGAGAUUCGAUGUACUCACAGGAAUACAAUUGAGAACACUUUGAAGGGCAUCAAGAAAAUUGAUAAAAUCAUGGAGGAGAGACAUAUUACAAAGAGGUUCCUUAGAGUCGACAUGGUUUAGUUUCUACUUUUGGCACUUGUGUUUAUGCAUCUGAUCUGUAAACUAUUCAAACACACAAAAGCCAACAAAUUCUAGUAUAAGAGAACUCACAAAUUGAAGGAAAUGAUAGAAUCUCAUAUGUCUGAGUGGAAUUUCAAUUAAGAAUUUAACUUGUAUACACUGGCAAUGUAAACAACUUUUACUUUAUUAGUGUAUUUUACUGGCAAUUAUAAUGUAGAUCCGCCUCUGCUUGUUACCUCCAUCACAAGCAUCUUACGCUACAGGGGUGCUAGUGCUUGAUUAAUAAGAUAUCAAAGGGGCCUGACAAAAUGUAAUAGGCUACUAGUCUAGGCGCACGCUAUUUCUUCAAGCUCUGCCCCUUCUUUCAAAAAUCAAUAAACAGCACUAUAGGUAUCAGGCGAUGUUCGAGCUAACUCGGACUGUUUCAUCAAAUACUUUUUACCUUCCUAGCUAGCUUUGGAUUCAUAGACAUCACUAGCUUGUCAUAACUAGGUCCGACUUCGUUGCCAUCACCAGUGCUUUGUUCCUGGGAGCAGAGAAGAGAGAUGACUAGCUUAGUAUGUACAACAUGUACUUGAAAGAUAAAUGACUAUGCUGAUGCUUUAGUUUUCUUAUUGAAUAUAUUUGGGAGCAGGUAAAAGGAAGUUGUUUCUAGUGACAAACAUAGAUAAAUAUCUGAAUAUGGUUAUUACUAUUAAGUAUGCAAUAGAAAGCACAAGAGUUAAUUAGUUAUACAGCUAACGGCACAAGACAAACCUUAGAAUUGAACCUCUGUUGUGUUCAUUUAUUCAGAUCAUCUACUUUCACCUCAUCAUCAUUGUUCACACUUGCGAGACUCGGUGUACUCACAAAUAUUCCCUGUUUGACAAACGUCUUCAUUUCAGGGCAGUCAUCAAUCAACACAUACCUGAGAAUUGGAAUUUCAAGAGUACACUCCUUCAGAAAGAAAUGCACAAGCUUUGGCAGCCUUUGAAGCGUCAGAUGUUUCAACAGGGGAAAUAAGGUCAUGAUUCCUUCUCCUUUUUGUUCCUCUUUUGUGAUCAUUUCUUCCAUUGAAUCACAGUCUUUAAUAUCUAGUAUUCGUAGAUUCCGAGCACCUCUGG